rnacentral:rRNA from 1 species
GACGAACGCUGGCGGCGUGCUUAACACAUGCAAGUCGAACGGAAAGGCCCUGCUUUUGUGGGGUGCUCGAGUGGCGAACGGGUGAGUAACACGUGAGUAACCUGCCCUUGACUUUGGGAUAACUUCAGGAAACUGGGGCUAAUACCGGAUAGGAGCUCCUGCUGCAUGGUGGGGGUUGGAAAGUUUCGGCGGUUGGGGAUGGACUCGCGGCUUAUCAGCUUGUUGGUGGGGUAGUGGCUUACCAAGGCUUUGACGGGUAGCCGGCCUGAGCGGGUGACCGGCCACAUUGGGACUGAGAUACGGCGCAGACUCCUACGGGAGGCAGCAGUGGGGAAUAUUGCACAAUGGGCGGAAGCCUGAUGCAGCAACGCCGCGUGCGGGAUGACGGCCUUCGGGUUGUAAACCGCUUUCGCCUGUGACGAAGCGUGAGUGACGGUAAUGGGUAAAGAAGCACCGGCUAACUACGUG